CAGUUCCCAGUAGUCUCUGUUCCAAGUCACACCAAGUUGAGUCUGUGUUGUGAAAGUCGUUUCGUGUUAUUCUUUGCAAGUGUUUAUAAAUAUAUUAUUACAAGCUGUAUUUAAUUAGUAAAGUCUACAAUCAAAUCAAGUGGUUAUUGAAGUAAAUAUGAAACAGUGUAAUUUUUUCCUACGCUACUUCUUGCUUUAAAGGAUUGAUAUACAACUGAAGUAAAGAUUAUCAGAAGACAUCAGUUAUUCAUGAAGAACAGCUCUACUACAAUAAGAUAUGGAUCGGUGAAUUUGUUGAACUACAAAAUUCCAGAUCAUGAAGUUGCAGAAAUCGUUGUUUUGUAAAAAUAAUUGUACAGAUACGGUUUUAUAUGUUAUCACUGUGGAAGAAUGGUUGGCUAUGAGUAGAGCUGUGGAAUAAUCUCAGCAUCCAGGGGGGCAAAGAAGACGAGGCCGACCACGCAACAGAUGAUUGGACGACGUGGAGGCAGACCUUCAAUCCUUGGGCAUCAGAAGGUGGAGACAGCGAGCACAGGACAGAGAUUCAUGGAAAGGACUUGUGGAGGAGGCCAAGGCUCUUCAAUGUCCGUAGAGUCAAUGAGUAGUAUUUAUAGGUUUUUGAUUAUAAAAUUUCACCUUCAUUCUCAUAGACGAACAUUGGAAUACCUUCUAUAGAGUGAAGCCUAUGUUGUUAUGACCGGAAUUUUAUUAGUGAAGUUCAGUACCGAAAUUAGUGCAAUUACAACAGUGAUAAUUCAGUGGUUAGUGAAGUAAAUGUAUAACUGUUUGCACUUCAAGACGAAGGUUUGGCUACCCUACUUCAUGACUCAAAGAAAUGUCAAAUCGUUGUCGAGAUGAAAGUGAGGUGUUUGAGGUGGCUGGGACACGUUGAGAGGAUGAGUGACUCAAGAGUUGUAAAACAGGUCCUCAGGAACAACCCAGGAGGAAGAAGGCUGAGAAGACGUCCGCGAAAGCGUUGGCUGGAGGAUUUGGAGGACGAUAUUAGGUGGCUGGGUGACAGGGGAUGGAGACGUAAGGCUGCUGAUAGAGACGAAUGGAGAGGCUUUCUGAAGGAGGUCAAGGCUCUGAAUUAGCUGUAGUGCCAAGGAGUAAUCCCCGUACACAGUCUUUCCCUAUCUUAUGCUCAGUGCGACUUAUGCACUGUCACGACUAAAUGGCACCUAAAGACCGAACCAUUGCACGGAUGAUACUGAAACUCAGUGGAGUGAUGGGGGAAAGUUUUGGAAUGCAUAGGUGACUCAUUCACUGACACCACCCUAUCCAAUAGUUUUGUGCAGUAAAAAAACUGACACUGUUGUACUUUUUACAACAGCGCGACUGCCGGAAGGUUAACAUACAUUAACUAUUGAUAUUAACUGUGGCAAACAAGGUAAUGGAGGAAAAGUGUGUCAACUUAGGAAGAUUUAGAACUUCACAUUUACCCACUACAGCUGUUAAUACUAAACCAUUCAUUUUGAGUCUCUUAUAAUUUUUAUAGAAGAUGGUUUGUCAUGCAACUUAACAUACAUCAAAUACUGAUAUUAACUGUGGCUAACAAGGUAAUAGAGAAAAAGGUGCUAACUUAGGAAGAUGUAGAUGUUCACAUUAACCCACUACAGCUGUUAGUACUGAGCUACUAAUUUCGGGUCUCUUUCAAUUUUCAUUGAACAAGAAUUUUAAAGUAUCAUCUAUUUUCCCACUUCAAUUAAUCCAUUUCUUUGAUAAGUCAUGAUUAGAAAAAGCAUGAAUACUUCAUAACAAAAUUAUAAGAAUCAAAAUACAAUUUCUAUGUAGCGCAAAUUAUUACCCCAUUUGUUAAUUAUUUGAAAUAUUAUCACAUUUCUCUAGACAACAGCAUGUUCUAUCUCUCUCAUAAUUUUUUUUAAGUUACAUCAUUCAAAGAUUUGAACCAUUCCCCUAAUGACAUUUUUACAAUUUACAGCAUGUAAUUCUUGCAUUAAACUCUUUCCUCUUAGUUCUGACAGAUAACUUUCUUCAAGUAGAACUAUAGGUUUAUUUCCAGUAAAAAGGGUUGACAACACAAUUCUAUAGACCUAUAGUCUAUAGACCUCCAGCCAACUUGUAAUUAUUAGCUGGAUAAAGGUCUUUAGCCUUUGAAUGUUCUUUAUAAAACUGCUAUUUUAGUUUUUUAUCUUCAGUAAUUUUUGGUAUGUAUUAAAAUUCAUCAUAUUCAUCAAAAUUUGUAUAAAAAUGUUGAGAACGACAAUUUUUAUUGUUUCAUUCAAUUCUCAUUUAAAUUAUUAUUCGAGUUUUAUUGUUCCAUUCAAUUCUCAUUUAAGUUAUUAUUCAAGUUUUAUUGUUCCAUUCAAUUCUCAUUUAAAUUAUUAUUCAAGUUUUAUCUCUUCCAUUUAUAUUUAAAUGUCCCUACAUUUGUGAAGGCUUGGAACCCCAAGUCUAGUUGAUACACUUUAACUUCCAUAUAUCAUCAUAUUUCUCUUUUCAAAAUAAUUAUUAUUUGUUUUAAGUACCACAUAUAAUGCUAUUUGUAAUUGAGUUCACAAAACUCAAAACCCAAAUUUAAUACCUAUUAUUGUAAUUCCAAAUUCCAUGUUUUCAACUCGUUCAACAUAUUAAUGAAAAGGUCCAGGACUGUCAAGUCUAGUAAACUUAUCUUGUUGUUCGAUUUAUGUUUCAAAUAAUUUUACAAUUUUUAAAAAUUUUCCAUAGGCUCAACUCCCAAGUCCAGUAACUUUCACCAAAAAAAAUAUUUUCACAGAAACCUCAGUUGAAAAUUUAUCUGAAUUGUUGCCUGUUAUCAAUUUUCUUCCAAUCCAACUAUUUUAAACUUUCUUUUUUUUUAGUUUGGAAGUAAUUUUUUUUAAAUAAGACUUUUACCUAUUGUAAGUGAUUUCAUGUAGUUAGGGUUGCCUAUAAUGGGAGUUGAAGAUGCCAACUAUUGUAAGCUUAGUUUAGGUUUUAGUUUGUAAGAGAAUUUACUGUAAUUUUUCAUCAGCUACAAGCUGAGCUCUGGCUGUCUUAUUGAGAAUACUCAAUAGAGCAGUAUCUAUAUCAAUUAUAUUUUCUUGCCAACCUCAAUAAUCCCUCUGAUUUUGAUUAUUUUAUAAUUCAUUUUAAAAAUAUGGAUACAAUUUUUGUUUCAAAUCGACAAUCCAAAGCUUUACUAUUUCUAUAAUAAUACUUAUAUUUAAUUAGUUGAUAGUUCAAUGAAAAGAGUAUUAAUUCCAAAUUCUUAAUAUUUUUCUAAGCCAUAGCCCAGCUAUGUUAUCAAAAUUAUAAACCAUUAUAUUUAUUUUAAUUGUCAAGCCAAAAACCUUAAGCCCCGCAGACACACAUCAUUUUUUGCUCGUACAGUAUUUUUCCGUCCUUAUAAAUUCUAUUAGAUUAAACAGAUGAUGUCUGUCAACCUCCGUUUAAUCUGAUAGAAUUCAUAAGGAUGGAAAAAAUAUCGUACGAACAAAAAUCAAUGUGUGUGUGUGCUGGGCUUUACUUAUUACAUCAAUCCUUUUUAUAUUAAUCACUCCCUUAUGAAUUAAAAAAAUAUUACUUAUUCCAUACAUUAGUCUAGCCAUAGCUCAGCUUAUGCUGGGUGAACUUCAUCACAAUAUUAGGUAUUGUUUUUUUCUAAUUUGUCUACUGUUGAAAAAUAAUUUCAAGAUUGAAAUUGAUUGGCUAUUAUGCUUAUCCUAUUCAAUACAAAUAAAUAUAUAUUUCAAAAAUUGUAUUUAAAUACAUAUUCUAGCAGAAGUCACAGUUGAAAAUCCAUAUAAAUUCUUGUCUGUUAUUAAAUUUCUCCAACAUAAUUCUUGUGAAUUUAGCUCUAGUUAGUUUGUAAGUGAAUAAAUUACAAAAUGCAAUUGUCUAUUAUAAGUAGUCUACUGUAUUUGCUCGCGUAGGAUGCGCACCCCAAAAAAUGGAGUACAUGUUUAAUGAAAAAAAUACAGUAAAGAUAUUAUCAAAGCUUUUAUUUGAAACAACGUUUAUAAUGAUUAUUGAUCUACAAAAUAUUCAUUUAAUUAAGUUGAAAUAUAAUAGAUACUGUCAGUUCCACAUAAUUUAUUCGAGCCAAACUUAAGUUUCAUUAAGGCAUCAUCUUCAGUGGUGUUUUUUCAUCUUAAGAUGAUGCCUCCUUAGUGCAUUGAAACUCAAGUUCGGCUCGAAUAAAUUAUGUGCAACUGACAAAAACGUUUUUAUUCCACUUUAAUAUGGAGAAAUUCCAAAAUAUCUCUGUUCAUAGCGUAGAUUUUAUUCAAUUAAUGUUUGAAAAACGUAAAAUACUGUAUUUAGAACUUAGUAUACAUUAGGAAAAGCUUACUUGUUGAUUAUCGUGACUGAUCAUUGUGAACAUUUUUGUCAAACUGUAAAUACCGGCAUUCUGUCUCAUUUUGGAAAAUCACACGUAUCACUUGAACCAACGAAUUUCGCUUUGUAUUUUUUGAAAAGUAAAAAGUUUUUUUUAAAUAGGUGCGUGUCAUACACUAGCAAAUACGGUAAUUUAAGGUGGUUAGGGUUGGCUAUAGGGGUGUUGGGAGGCCAAUUGUUGUAAACUUAUAGUUUAGUUUUUAGUUUGUAAUUAUGCGAAUUUAUUGUAAAUUUAUCACCCACUGAAAGCUGAGCCCUGGCUGGUCUAUUGAGCAUAAAUAAAUGAGUAUCCAUACUAAUCAUUAUAUAUUCAUGUCAACAAAAAUUCCUCUAAUAUUAAUUAUUUUGUGAUUUAGUUUGAAAAUAUUAAUACUUUUUUCUUCAAAUUGGCAAGCCUUAGCUUUCCUGAUUCUAUAUUCCUAACCAAAAUAAACUCAUAUGUUUAUAUUAUAAACAUACUAUGAUAUACAUUCACUGAUUCUACAUAUAACUUAAUCAUACUAAAAUCAGUUAUUACUCUAAUAUCAAUUACUUCAUAACUAUUCAUUAAAAAAAAUUUAAUAUCAAUAUUAAAAUGUUGAUAAAAUAGGUUAUUAAUACUAAUUCAUUCAAAUUGACAAUACAAAGCCUCACUGAUUAUACAAUCAUAAUAAUAUCAAUUCCUUCAACAUUGAUCACUUCAAAAUUAAUUUUUUCAACAAUACUAAUUUCUAGAAAUUGACAAGUCAAAGCCUUACUAGUUCUAUAAUUAUACACAUAUCAUCAAAAUUGUAUUUAAAUAUAUAUUUUAGCAGAAGGCAUAGUUAAAAAUUCAUAUAAAUUCUUAUCUGUUCUCCAAUUCAACUAUUGUGAAUUUAGCUCUAGUUAGUUUGUAAGUGAAUAAAUUAAACAAAUACAAUUGUCUAUUGUAAGUACUGUGUUUGCUUGCGUACGAGCCCACCCCAAAAACUAGAGUACAUUUUUAUGAAAAACAAAAACAGUAAAGAUAUUAUCACAGCUUUUAUUUGAAACAA
rnacentral:lncRNA from 1 species